rnacentral:rRNA from 1 species
GACGAACGCUGGCGGCGUGCCUAAUACAUGCAAGUCGUGCGGACCUUGUUGAAAGCUUGCUUUUAAAAGGUUCGCGGCGGACGGGUGAGUCACACGUUGUCAACCUGCCUGUAAGACUGGGAUAACGCCGGGAAACCGAGACUACUACCAGAUCGUUUUUUCCUCCGCAUGGUGUAAAAAGGAAAGGCGGCUUCGGCUGCCACUUACAGAUGGGCCCGCGGCGGAUUAGCUAGUUGGCGGGGUCAUGGCCCACCAAGGCAACGGUGCGGAGCCGAGCUGAGAGGGAGAUCGGCCCAAGUUGGAACGAGACACGGGCCAAACCCCUACGGGAGGCAGCAGUAGGGAAACUUCCGAAAAGGGGGAAAGGCUGACGGCGGAACGCCGGGGGAGGGAAGGAGGGCCUCGGGUCGGAAAACUCUGUUGACGGGGAAGAACAAGCGGUGUGCGAACAGGGCGGCGUCUUGACGGUACCCGGACAGAAAGCCACGGCUAACUACGUG